CCUCAGGCCUGUAAACAAGGAGGAGAAACAAACCCAUUAACACAUUCUUUCCCAUUUCCUCUGCGCAUACCAAAGGUGGUCUCCGGCCAAACUCCACCACCCGCACGCAAUGGAGAUGAGGAAGAUUGCCUGCGCCGUCCUGGUCGCCGCCGCCGCCUCGGCCACCACGGCCUUGGCUGCUGAUGGCCCGGCCCCUGGCCCCGUCAGCGCCUCCUUUGAUGUCACCCCUUCUAUUGGUGCUGUCAUCGGAGCCUCUAUCCUCUCCUUCUUCGCCUUCUACUUGCAGUAGGCCUCACAAAAUAAGAAAGAAAGAGGAAGAUAUGACUCUAUUUUUUAUCUUUCGUUUCUCUCUCUUCUUGUAUUAUUGUUCCUGUGCUAUUCUUUCCUCCUCCCUGCCACAUUGGUUUGGUUUGAGAGAAGUGUUGGAUGGGAUUUUAUGGAUUUAAUUUGCAUGUCUUGUUGGAUUUUUAUAUGGAAUAAAAAUCCCUUAAGAUGGUGCUUAUGUUGUUUAACUUGGCCACUCUUAUUUAUUUCUGAGACAAAUAUUCUAAAUGCUACAGUAUAAUUUCGCACGGGUUCCUUGGUCUAGAGUCCGAUAAUUGGAUGAUACGAUCCUAUCACAGCAUUUCGCUUCCUAUAUCUUUACAAAUACAGGAGGCAAGCAAUUUAUUCUCAACAAAGAAAGGCAACAACUAGAAGGGUGUCAUAGCCAAAUGUGGAACUGGAUCAUGUAUAGGUUGAAAGAUUGAGUCGUCCACCUAAAACCGGC
rnacentral:lncRNA from 1 species